AUAUGGGAAAUGACGUAUAGUUUUAUUUGCGACCUUUUUUGAUGCACGUUGAGACGGAUAACUUCCGGAGCGUCAGACAAAUAAAUACAAGUCAUCUGGUUCUUAUUCUGUCCUCUCCUUACAUCAUGUCGACUUUUGGGUUUGUCGUUGUUGUCCUAACGGUGUCUCUACACCCUGGACACUCCAUGUUCAUCAAAGACCCUCUGGCAUUCGAGAAACACAAUUCUCUGAAGGCUAUCUGCUCAGAGUGCAGCCAGAUCAUCCAGCUAUCUGCCAACAUGAUUCCCAGCAAAGAUAGUAAGGAGCGCGUGUAUGAAACCUUGUAUGCACUAUGCCAGCAACUCCCGGACAAACAAGCAUUGGAAUGUGACUCUCAGUUGAAGAUGGAUUUGCCCCAAAUCCUGCUGCAACCACUUAAUCACAGGGACGGGAGAGGUAUCUGCUCGGCUUUUGGGCUGUGCGCUGUUCACAAGGAUGAGGAGAUUGCACUUCCCCAGCAUGACAAUAGGGAAGUUGUACCUGUGCUCACCAACACGCACGAGCAGUUCAACCCAGCUUGCACCCUGUGCCUGUUUGUCAUCAAGAAAUUGGAGACCCUGUUGCCUCAAAACAUGACUGAGGAUGCGUUGAUGAAGCUCAUGGGCGAGGUCUGCGAUCUCCUCCCUCAGAGCUACAAGGAUGAGUGCGAUGACUUUGUUGACAAAUAUGGCGUACAGAUAGUGGAGUUCCUGCUGUCUUCGGCCGCCCCUCACACCAUAUGUGCACUGCUGCACAUCUGUUUGUUCAGGGACUCUAAUGCGCUGGACGUUCCCGUCCCCUCGGACUGCGAUUCAUGCCGUACGCUGGCUGUGCUGAGCCGACUUCAACUGGGUGUCAACGCCACAAAACCUGAGACAUCCUCCUUCCUGCGGUCUGUGUGUGGUCGUCACCCCAAUGCCAUCCCAAAGUGUGAGGCGUUCACGAAAAUCUAUGGCACAAGACUGCAGGAGGUUUUGGAAAACCAGGUGGACCAUGUAGACAUUUGUGAAAGAGCUGAUCUGUGCACUACAAAAAAGUCAAAGCUGGUGGGAAGCAAUCCGUGCACUUGGGGGCCAAGCUACUGGUGCAGAGACACAAACACAGCUCAGAAGUGUGGUAACGUGGCCUUCUGUGAGAAGCACUUGUGGAAGAAGUGAAAAGCUCUUAAUCGACUACAUGCAUGUACACGCACAGUCACACAAAUUAUUUGCCUGAUAAUCUUAACAUUUUUGUAAUGUCGUUUUUUUUUUUUCACCUCCCUAUGUUUGUCUGCAUGAAAAAUAUGACUUGCAGCUGGGAUUGAAUUACAGUCACCACUUGUUCAGUUGUCUUCUGAUCAAAGAUUGUGGAAAUAGUCUGUGGCUAAUAUUAAAUUGUUAACAAUAAAAUUGUGUUUCAUGAUAAGGCUGGCUACUAAGGUCAUUUGAAUUAUAGAUGUAGCUUGGGAUCUCGCAAUUCAUUUUUAGAAUUAAUCUUUUAAUCUCUGUUUGGCUGAGGUUUUGCAAGAUUAGCCAAUCUUUCCCGUCGCACAUGAUUUUUUUUCAUUAAAAUGUUACGGGCAUUCAACUUGAGAGGUUCUACUGGACAUGAUAUAAUCUUCAGACAUUUCUGUAAAAAGUAAAUGAGUGGAUGAGCCUGUCACAGCCAUCGCUUCUGUUCUAUCGUGUACAUUUGUAUCUGUUGAAAAAUAUGUAAUAUUGUUGCAGAAUCACAAUGGUGACAAAUCUCUGAACUCAGUACUCACAAUAAAAACUGUAUGGAUAACUAUUAUGUAAUAGAACUUGAGCAACACCGACA